CAGCACGCGCGGGCGUACCCUUGCCGGGGGCCGUAAAGCGCGGAAGGUCGCGGUCUCCCGCUUCCCCGGAACUUUUUACUCCCUCCGCCCCGCCCCCUUCCCAUUCCCAGUGCCCCGUUUCUGGCGGCGGGACCCCCGGCAACUGUUGUGGCUGCUGUCCCGCUGCCGCCGGGGUGCUGCUGACGGCGGAGCCCGCGGCGGCCCGUGAGUUUGAAUUGGGGAGAAUCUCCUCUUUGGCCGAGUGGGAGCACAUCUCCGAGCUGCUGACUGACAGACGUGAUGUUUUCCCGGUUGCUGUCGGUGGCCCGGAGACAAAGGACCGGCCGAGGAUGGCAGAACUGGUCGUCGGGGAGAAGCGGUGCGCCAGCUGCCGAGGCGCAUUCUGUCGCCCUGCCUGCCCAGGCACAGGUGGUCAUCUGUGGCGGUGGAAUCAUGGGCACAUCCGUGGCCUAUCACCUCUCCAAGAUGGGCUGGAAGGAUAUUGUCCUUUUGGAGCAGGGCAGGCUGGCCGCUGGCUCUACGAGGUUCUGUGCCGGCAUCCUGAGCACCGCCAGGCACUUGACCAUCGAGCAGAAGAUGGCAGACUAUUCCAACAAACUCUACCAGCAGUUAGAGCAAGAAACAGGGAUCCAAACAGAGCCCCUGCUGAGUUCCCUCCUGCGUCGGAUGCCAGAACUGGAGACUCUGGAGAUCGUGAAGUUGGUCAACUGCUCCGAGACCUUCACCCCAGACAUGAGGUGCAUCAUGGGCGAGUCUCCUGCAUUGCAGGGCUACUAUGUCCUGGUGGGAGUGAACUCUGCUGGCCUGUCGUUUGCAGGAGGGGCUUGAGGGUUGUCAGAGGAUGGUGAAGACUCAGAUGCCAGCACGUGCGUUCAUCAGGCAGAGGAUAAGAAGAGCCCGAAAUCAAGGUGGUGGGUUCUCCCUUCAGUGAAGCAAAACCGCUUUUAGAAAACUGUCAUUCCUGCCACUUCUAUGAUGGGGGGGGCGGGGUUAACAUUUCAAAUGCAUUCAGAGGCAGGGUAAGGGAAGAAGGUGGAGUUACUUUCCACUUUUAGAAGGGAAAGAGGUAAAACUGUUGGUGUGUUUAAGAAGGUAGAAUCCAGGGACAGCAUGUCUCCUGGUGAGAGUCCAAGUAGCUGGACUCUCCUCCUGCAGAAACGGGAUAACUGAGGUUACUCACUGAGCUUAACGGUCUCUGGGCCCCUGUUCUGAACAGCAUCUCUUGUAUUUGGGGGUACAGGGCCCCCCAGCCGGGCACAGGCCAUCAGGUAGGCUAUCCAAGCAGGUAGAUCUUGUCCCUUUUUGCUCUGUGUUAGUCUGAGGCUGGCACGCUUUCUGUUUCCAGAUACAACAAGACUGUCCAGUUGAAUAUGUGGACAAGACAGAAGAACACAGAGCCCCUCCCUCAAGAGACCACAAGAAGUGAUGAAGGAUCAUUUCACAGAGAAAAAAGUACCAGCCAUCUGAAACCCAAGUCCCGCCACGCAUUCACAAAGCAUCCAGAUCCUUUGAAUCUCUAGGGACAGAGGAGCAGACACACAAGGCAAACCCAAGAUGGGAACGACAGACUGCAGGAUGUUCUGUCAGAUGGCACAUCUCAGAGACCUGCCCUCCCCCCCCCCCCUCAAGUGACUGAGCCAGGAAGGCGGCACACCCUACCCGCGUCCCACAACGGCCAGCCUCUCAUGUUAUUCUUGGUCCUGGAAACUGUAAGUAUCAGACACCCUAAAUAAAGUUUUCUCAACUGAAGGCAGA